rnacentral:rRNA from 1 species
UAGGGAAUUUUCGGCAAUGGGGGCAACCCUGACCGAGCAACGCCGCGUGAGUGAAGACGGCCUUCGGGUUGUAAAGCUCUGUUGUAAGGGAAGAACGGUAGAUAGAGAAUAUCUAAGUGACGGUACCUUACCAGAAAGCCACGGCUAACUACGUGCCAGCAGCCGCGGUAAUACGUAGGUGGCGAGCGUUAUCCGGAAUUAUUGGGCGUAAAGGGUGCGUAGGCGGCCUGUUAAGUAAGUGGUUAAAUUGUUGGGCUCAACCCAAUCCAGCCACUUAAACUGGCAGGCUAGAGUAUUGGAGAGGCAAGUGGAAUUCCAUGUGUAGCGGUAAAAUGCGUAGAUAUAUGGAGGAACACCAGUGGCGAAGGCGGCUUGCUAGCCAAAGACUGACGCUCAUGCACGAAAGCGUGGGGAGCAAAUAGGAUUAGAUACCCUAGUAGUCCACGCCGUAAACGAUGAAUACUAAGUAUUGGGAAAACUCAGUGCUGCAGCUAACGCAAUAAGUAUUCCGCCUGUGGAGUAUGCACGCAAGUGUG